GGCCUGAUGGUGUAGUGGUUGCAUUCCUCCUUCGGGUUUUGUAAAAAAACCAGAGAGGUGGUGGCGGUGAUCGGUUCGAAUCCGGUUCAGGCCC